CGUUGUAUCCCUGUAGCACAAUGGUUAGUACGUUGGACUAAUAAUCCAAAGGUCGUGGGUUCCAAUCCCAACUAGAAUGG